rnacentral:rRNA from 1 species
UACAGAGGGUGCAAGCGUUGUUCGGAAUUACUGGGCGUAAAGCGCGUGUAGGCGGUCUUGCAAGUCGGUCGUGAAAUCCCUUGGCUUAACCAAGGAACUGCGUUCGAAACUGCUCGACUAGAGUAUCGGAGGGGAUGGUAGAAUUCCUGGUGUAGAGGUGAAAUUCGUAGAUAUCAGGAGGAAUACCUGUGGCGAAGGCGACCAUCUGGAAGAUUACUGACGCUGAGACGCGAAAGCGUGGGGAGCAAACAGG